rnacentral:rRNA from 1 species
GUCGAGGGGUAUAGGUUUUCGGACCUAGAGACCGGCGCACGGGUGCGUAACGCGUAUGCAAUCUACCUUUUACAGAGGGAUAGCCCAGAGAAAUUUGGAUUAAUACCUCAUAGUAUUAUUGAAUGGCAUCAUUUAAUAAUUAAAGUCACAACGGUAAAAGAUGAGCAUGCGUCCCAUUAGCUUGUUGGUAAGGUAACGGCUUACCAAGGCAACGAUGGGUAGGGGUCCUGAGAGGGAGAUCCCCCACACUGGUACUGAGACACGGACCAGACUCCUACGGGAGGCAGCAGUGAGGAAUAUUGGUCAAUGGGCGCAAGCCUGAACCAGCCAUGCCGCGUGCAGGAUGAAGCAUCUAUGGUGUGUAAACUGCUUUUGUACGAGAAGAAACACUCCUUCGUGAAGGAGCUUGACGGUAUCGUAAGAAUAAGGACCGGCUAACUCCGUGCCAGCAGCCGCGGUAAUACGGAGGGUCCAAGCGUUAUCCGGAAUCAUUGGGUUUAAAGGGUCCGUAGGCGGUUUUGUAAGUCAGUGGUGAAAGCCCAUCGCUCAACGGUGGAACGGCCAUUGAUACUGCAAGACUUGAAUUAUUGGGAAGCAACUAGAAUAUGUAGUGUAGCGGUGAAAUGCUUAGAGAUUACAUGGAAUACCAAUUGCGAAGGCAGGUUGCUACCAAUACAUUGACGCUGAUGGACGAAAGCGUGGGGAGCGAACAGGAUUAGAUACCCUGGUAGUCCACGCCGUANACGAUGGAUACUAGCUGUUCGAGAGCAAUCUUGAGUGGCUAAGCGAAAGUGAUAAGUAUCCCACCUGGGGAGUACGUUCGCAAGAAUGAAAC